AACGAACGUUGGCGGCAGGCUUAACACAUGCAAGUCGAGGGGCAGCAUGGUGUAGCAAUACACUGAUGGCGACCGGCAAACGGGUGCGGAACACGUACAGAACCUUCCUUCGAGCGGGGAAUAGCCCAGAGAAAUUUGGAUUAAUACCCCAUAGUAUAAUGAAGAGGCAUCUCUUUAUUAUUAAAGAUUUAUCACUUGAAGAUGGCUGUGCGGCUGAUUAGGUAGUUGGCGGGGUGACGGCCCACCAAGCCUGCAAUCAGUAACUGGUGUGAGAGCACGACCAGUCACACGGGCACUGAGACACGGGCCCGACUCCUACGGGAGGCAGCAGUAAGGAAUAUUGGUCAAUGGACGAAAGUCUGAACCAGCCAUGCCGCGUGGGGGAUGAAGGUCCUCUGGAUUGUAAACUUCUUUUAUAUGGGACGAAAAAAGGCUUUUCUAAGUCGUCUGACGGUACCAUAUGAAUAAGCACCGGCUAACUCCGUGCCAGCCGCCGCCGUAAAAC
rnacentral:rRNA from 1 species